CAUUUUGCUCUUAAUGGACCUGAUUUUAUAGCUACAAAGAUAUUACUAUGACACACUUAAGACCACAAAUUUCAAAAGUUUUUUUGUUAAAUUACGUGCUCAAUUAAACAUAUUCACAACCAUAAAAUCUAACGGAGGGAAUAAAAUAGUUCAUGUUUACUUUAAUUCCCUUUAUCUCACUAUUGCUCUUUUCAACAAUGCAAAACAGAGGGUUAAUCAUAUCUCACCUCAAGAAUAAUCUCUAGAUAUAUGCUUCACAGUCAAAUAAUUUUUGAAAAAUAUCCUGAUAAGGCAUAGCAAUAUACUAAAAUCUUGUGGACCAAAGUAAUAUUUAUUUUGUGGACCAAGAUGAGUAUGCUAUUGGAUAACAUGAGAGAACUGAUCAGCUUUAAGAUAAUGUCAAAGACGGACAGUCAAGUCACAGUGUCACACUGCAUAGGAAAAUAAGAAAAAGAACGUGUCACAGACUCCAUGGAAUCUAACGCCUCUUUUGGGGCAAACUUUCAGAAGACUUAGGCCCGUUUGGAUAUGAUUUUAAAUUAUGUUUGGACAUACAAUUUAAAUAUUUUAAGUUAUAUUUUUUUUUAUAGAUAUAAAAACUCCACAAAUUGUGAAAACUCUCAAAACAUUCUCAAUUAUUAUAUAAUCUUACCAAAUGAGCAAAUCAUAGUUUAUAACAAACUUAGUACACUAUUAGAAGGCCUUUUUAAAAAAUGCAACAUCAAUUAAUCAAACUUUAGUUCAAUAAAAACGAAAAUUUAACAUGAAUAGUAAUGUAACUACUCUUUAAUAUAAUCUUCCCUCAUAAAUUAAAGGUUGGUAGACAUAAAUAAAGGUUGGUGGAAGUUAAUGAGAUUGGUAAAUGAUUGAUGGGGGUAAUUGUUAAGAAUAUCUACCAACUUAUGGAUCUUUUUUUACAAAAUAUAAACUUAUGAGUUAAAUUUUAUAUUUUAAAAAGUUGAAAUCAUGAUUUCAAACCCCAAAUCAUGUCUUUUUGGAUGAUUUGAGGUUUGAAAUCAUGAUUCCAAAUGUAUGUCCAAACACUGAUUUGAAACCAUGAGUUGACCAAACGCCUACUUAAGAAAGUCAAGUAACUUGCCUCUGGAAAAUUUAGAACCCUUAUCUACGGCACUGCUUGGCCCCAAUAGCCCUCUUUCCUUGAUAAUCGGGUAUUCAUUGGUUAGCAAACUUUUAUCCCUAUUUAUAGUUUAAUACUUCAUUCCUUAUUUAAUUUACACAAAUUCUAUACUACUAUAACAAUCACAUGUACACAUGGAGAGAGCAUACUCGUUCGUUCUUUCAUUUGUAGUCUUGCAACUCUACUUCUUAGAGACAUGCAUUAGCAAAAACAUAAGCACUGAUCAAUCUGCUCGUCUUGCCUUCAAAGCCAGAGUUACUCUAAACUCUUCUCAUCCCUUAACCCAAAAUUGGUAUUCUCAAGCUUCUGUAUGUGAUUGGAUUGGAGUCACUUGCGCCUCUCGCUACCAUAGGAUGACUGCACUAAAUGUAUCCGACAUGGACAUUCAUGGGUCCAUUCCGCCAUAGUUGGGAAACCUCUCAUGUCUUGUUUCUCUCGAUGUUAGCAGAAAUUAUUUACAUGAAGACCUCCCUCAAGGUUUGUCUCGUUUACGUCUAUUGAAGGUGAUGGAUCUCGGGUACAAUAAUUUCAGUGGUGAGAUACCAAUAUGGUUCGGUUUCUUUUCUGAGCUUAAAAUGUUAAAUCUUGAUAAGAACAAUUUCACGAGUAUACCUCCUGCUUCUAUUUCUAACCUAUCCAAGUUAGAAACUCUCAGUAGUAAAAACAAUCAACUUUGAGGCAGUAUUCCCAAAAAUAUCGGUAACCUUCAGAUAAUGUAAAUCAAACACUUAUACCAUCUGUAACAUCGAAAUUUUACUCCCUAUGAGAUACAUAUGUAACUAAGUACAUUAAAAUAUAAGUAUUAAAAGAUAAAUUAAAAUUAUAAAUUAAUUUUUUAAGUAUUUAUUUAUAUAAAAUUUAAAAAGAAGUUAAAUAUUCUUGUUGAAAGAGAACGAAAGAUACAUAUUUCAGUAAAUGUCUAUUUUUUUAUAAUCAAAGGAUUAACAAAGAUUUUCAAUAAACACACACACACACACAUAUAUAUAUAUAUAUAUAUAUAUAUAUAUAUAUAUAUAUAUAUAUAUAUAUAUAUAUAUAUACAUAUUCUCUUUUUAGAAUUUUAUAAAAAAUAAAAUACAUAAAAGAAGGAGUGUAUUCCAAACUGAAUUCAUAUUACAGACCGUUUAAUCUAAUUAACCGUAAAAUUAAAAAUAUCACAUUAAUUUGGAUCUUUUUGCUCUCUAUGAUGUGGCAGGUAUUAUACCUAGAGAGAUGGGGAAUCUUCACAAAUUGGAUAACCUAAUUAUGCAUUUUAAUAAAUUAAGUGGUUCCAUACUGGAAGAGCUCUUCAAUAUCUCUACUCUAAGAAAGAUAGCACUUGCUUUCAAUAACCUUCGGGUAGUCUUCCAUCUGCUUCGCGCUGCUGGCUAACAAAUCUAGAGUAUUUGAAUCUCGGUGUAAACAACAUUGGUGGAGUUAUACCAAGCUCAAUCUCCAAUUCUUCAAAUCUAAAGGAAUUAUAUCUUAACAGAAACAAAUUGAGUGGCCCAAUUCCUAACUCAUGGGAGAUUUGAGACAGCUUGAAGAGCUGAAAUUGUUCAAUAAUAAAUUAUCGUCUCCGCAUUUGUGUAUCUUAACUUUAUUGGUGAACUGCAUAUCUUUAACAGUUAUAGAAUUAGGGGAUAAUCCUCUGAUUGGUGUUCUUCCAGAUUCCAUUGGCAAUCUCUCCACUUCUCUUGAAGGAUUUUAUUUAUAUCGGUCUGAAAUUAGGGGUCAGAUACCAUUAGGAUUUGGGAAUUUAAGUAACUUAAUCACUUUUUCCCUAUUCGGCAAUGACUUGAGUGGAUCACUGCCAAGAACAUUAUGUAAUUUACCUAAUCUUCAAAUUUUAGGGCUUGAUGAUAAUAGGUUAAGUGGACCCUUGCCGGAGUGCCUUUGCAAAUUGUCGGAGUUGGGCUUUGUUGAUUUGUCAUCUAAUCAAAUUUUGGGUAAGAUACCGUAUUGCAUCCGUAACAUUACCUCUUUGAGACAUAUUUAUCUAAAUUCAAAUAGGCUCACUAAAAUACCCAUGAGUCUGUGAAGCCUCAAAGAUCUUUUUGUCACGCCCCAAAACUCACCCUGGAUGUAACAGACAUCCGAUUAGAUCUGUCAAUAUGGGCUUGGCCCGCGAGGCCGGCCCAACCUAACCCUUUAUUUAAGUAGGGUUGGGAUAAGAUUUAUUUGACCCAUAUAGAAGUGAGGCUCAAAAGCCCAGCCUCUCUGGGCCCGCCGGCCUCAAGGGUUGAGCUGGGUCAGCCCUUGAGGCCAGAAAAGAAUAAUAAAUAAAUAAAUAUUUAAAAAAUAUAUAAGUAAAUUAAUCAAAAAGAUAAAAAGUAAUGAGAAAAAAGAAUGUACUUACUACAAAGUAGUAAUUAGAAACUGGAGUAAUACUUUUUUAGUCUUAAAAUUUAUAUUAUGUUUAAUUUCUUUUGAACGUGAUUUGAAUUAGUGAUUAAAAAUAAUAAUUUAUAUUUAUUCUCUUGAUAUGGAUUUGGGAAAGAAUGGGUGGUAGAAGAUUAUAUUUCAUAUUGCAAAAGUUUCAUGUUCAAAUUGUACCAAAAAAUCACUUGGAAAAUGUUAUUUCGGAAGACGAAAAAACUUAAAGGGCUGGCCCGUCCUAGCGAGCGGCCCGCUUAGGGCUGGGUUGGGUUGCCAUUUUGCAGGCCCUUCAAUUAAAAGGGUCAGCCCGUCAGGGCUCGGUUGGGUUGCGCUGGGCCAUCCCAUUUUGACAGCUCUACAUCCGAUGUUAUGAACAACAUCGAAAGAACCUAAAUGACACAAUAAUAACACUUGAACCCGCCAGGUUCAAUAUUCGCCUCCAACAGUUUAUAAAAUAAAUGUAACAUCAAGUUCCUUUUUAAUAAUCUUUCCUUAUUAAAUUAAAUAAAGUUAUAAGUAACUGCAUAUAUGAUGAUUACAAUUAUGAACUAAAAUCAGCGGAAGUUUAAUAUAAGUAAAUAGUCGUAAACGUGGCAAACACCCAUUAAGUCGGACGAGACUUUGACAAUCUACCCACAAUUCUGACAACUAUCUAUGGAGCUUCUAAGAGACACAACAAUCAUUUAACUUCGGGACGCAGCCCGAAAAUCUAGAAUAAUAAAUAAAACAGGAAGUGUCCCACGAACAAGGAUGCGGGCUCACCAAAUCAACAGCAACAGAAAGUUCUCCUAAGCGUCGAGAGUAUCACGAACUUGCUUUUCUCCGUUACCUAACAUACCAUAAAAAACAACAAUGGUAUGCCUGAGUACUUUCAUACUCAGUGAGUGCCUCGAGGACAACAAGUAAUAUAAAAAUAAAAUAUAAUAAUACUUAAAGAAAUCAGUUCUGAAAAGAUAGUAUAAAAACAGUCAUUCCCCUUUAUGAUUCUUAAUAUCAUUUGUUAAACAGUUUACAAAGCCAUUAAUCAAUAUAAAAAAAACAGUUAUAUAGCCUGUGUAUCCCAAUAAGAAUUAUCAAAACCGAUUAUAAGGCCUCUUGUCAAGACACAACUUCAAGUAUGCCUUUCAAUUGAUCAUAAUUAACAACAACAAUUCCAUGAGAAAAUAAGAAUAUCACACAAGCCAAUACAGGCCCAAGAAUCAAGCACAUCAAAGGGGUAACCGUAGAGGUUCCCUUGUCACAGCGCACCACACCGGAAUAUGAAAUUCAGCGGUGGCUAUCCUUCCUCCCGAAUAGCUAGGCAUAAUCACACCCCAGGUGGCGAACCCGGAAGUGGCCACUCUUCCUCCCGAAUGGCUAGGCAUUAUCACACUAGGAUCCAUAGUGGCUAUCCUUCCUCCCGAGUAGCUAGGCCAAACACAACAACAAAGUUCAUAGCAUAGAAGCCGAUUCACAAUUUAUCUCAAAGUAGUCACACCAUCAAAUAACAUUAAAGUUCAUUAUGCCAUUACGAAAAUUCAUAAUUUCAUAGAUAAUCUUGAAAACUUUUCCAUUUCUUUAAACAAGAUUCCUUUGUCAUAGUUCCUUUGUAAAAUCAUCAAUACCCACAAUUAACCAUCAUCAUUGAUCAUCUCUUAUAGAAGAAAACGAUUAUGAUUUCAUAUACGUAUAUAGAGGAUAAUACAAUCAAGGUUUAAUGUGGGCUUGUCCCCUCACGCACAUUAACCAUUAAUCAAAACAUGUAAUAGAUUUCAAGAGUGUAAAACCAAUUCUUUAUAUCAUUCAAAACAUGCUUUUAUAGAUAAUCAAUCUUUCAAGAGAGUUUGCAAAAGAGACAUAUAAAUUACCUUUAUAUUCAAAAAAGAUUUUAUUUUUAAAGAGACAUACCUUAAUACGUUAAACAAAGUUUAACAAUUCACUUUCCUAAUGAAGAACACCCAAACCCUAGCUUGAAUCACUUUGGGAAGAAUUAUGCUGCAAACCCUAAGUUUUGGUCACAAGAAUCAUGAGUUUGAUGUUAGAAUGGAUUAGUAAUGUUAAGGGUGUCCUUACCUUUGAUUUGAAGACUUAGAGGAAUGAUUUUCGUCCUUAGGGUUUGGGAGAAUGAAAAAAAUGGGAACAAAAUAAGACCAUACCCAUUUUAAACAAAAUUUUCUGCCAGAAACGGAAGAAGUACGACCUAAAAGGACGUCCCAUACUUUCUGGGCGUACUUUGGGCGAAAUUUCCAGCAGAUAUUUCAAAGAUCUACAACUUUCAUCAAGGAAGUUUUUCCACAUUCACAACACAUUUUCAUGAAAAUUGCCCAGAAGAUAGAUCUACCAAAACUUAGGCGAAUUUAAGAGCCCUUAAGAACUUCAAUUGUUGGUUUGACUUCAAAACGACCAUUUUCCACCUGAAUUUAUCAAGAAUGGAUUCAUAUAGAUAUAAUAUCAUCUUAACACUAGUUUUUUACACAUUCACACCUAGUUCAAGUUUACGGGGUGUUACACUUUUGGUGCUUGACUUAUCAAAUAAUUCUUUGGUUGGUUCUAUACCUCCCGAUUUCGGUAACUUGAAUCACAUAACAUCCAUAGAUCUGUCAAGGAAUCACCUUUCAGGAAUUAUUCCCUCCACAGUUGGAGACUUGCAGAAUUUACUUUAUCUUUCUUUGUCUUAUAAUGAGUUACAAGGAUCUAUUCCGGAGUCACUCGGCAAAAUGAUAAGUUUGGAAUCAGCGAAUCUAUCCAAUAACAUUCUUUCAGGUACGAUUCCAAAAUCAUUAGAGGCACUUCCAUAUAUGAAGGAUUUCGAUGUAUCAUUCAAUAGAUUAGAAGGUGAAAUCCCAAGUAAAGGACCUUUUCUUAAUUUCACCUCUCAAUCUUUUAUGGAAAAUGAAGUGUUAUGUGGUGAUUUGUUUUUCCGGCCUUGUAUGACUAGGUCUUUUCAUCAGUCAAGGAGAAGCAAAUUGCUACAAAUUAUACUUGUCCCAUUGGUUGCUUCACUGAUGGCACUUGCCUCAAUCUUUGUGUUUAUGUUAAGGAGACGUGGGAAUAGAAACGUUCCAACUCAAGCCGAAUCCUAUCCUGCAACAACACUGGCCAGGAUUUCAUACAUUGAAGUUGAAAGGGCAACUCAAGGGUUCAACCAAUGCCACUUGAUAGGCUAUGGAGGUUAUGGCUCUGUUUACGAGGGCAUCUUUGCAAAUGGGAUGGUUAGGGCAAUCAAAGUGUUUAAUUUACAGAUUGAAGGUGCAUUCAAGAGUUUUAAUUCUGAAUGCGAAGUUUUACACAACCUUCGCCAAAUGAAUCUUACCAAAGUUAUCACCAGUUGUACUAACUUAGAUUUUAAAUCUUUACUUUUGGAGUACAUGCCCAAUGGAAGCCCGGGGUUACAUUCUGAUGGUUACUUCUUGAAUAUGAUCCAAAUAUUAGACAUAAUGAUUGAUGUUGCAUCUGCUUUGGAAUAUCUUCAUCAUGGUUAUGUAACAGUUGUUGUACAUAGUGACUUGAAGCCUAGAAAUGUCUUGCUAGAUGAAAGGCUGGUUGGACAUGUAAGUGACUUUGGCCUGGCGAAGUUAUUAGGAGAAGGGGAAUCUAUUGCUCACACUAAAACAUUUGCAAUGAUGGGCUACAUCGCACCGGAAACUAAUUACUCUAGAACAUUGGAUCAGAGUACGGAAUAGUAGGAUUAGUUUCUGUAAGAUGUGAUGUGUAUAGCUAUGGGAUAAUGGUCAUGGAGACUUUCACAAGAAAAAGGCCAUAUGAUGAAAUGUUUAAAGAAAAUUCGAGCAUGAGGAGUUGGGUCUAUAAUUCACUACAUGCAGCACCAGAGGAGAUUAUUGAUGUCACAUUAAUGGAACCGGAAGAUAUUGAUUUCCAGAAAAAGUUGCAUUGUGUGUCCUAUAUUUUGGAGUUGGCAUUGCAUUGUACAACUGAAACUCCCAAUGAAAGAUUGAACAUAAAAGAAGUCCUCGCAAAUAUCAAGAAGAUCAAACUGGAAUUCCUUCGCAAAUGAUCUAGCAAGGUUCAUGUGAAGGUAGUGCCACCUCUUCCACCUGGUGUUAGCAAAUUUGGAUGAUCCCAAUUGAGAUGCCAACCACCAUUUGGUCAGAGAUUUGAACUUUUCUUGUUUCUUGUGCUCCCCUCUUGUGUACGAUUUCAAGUUUUAGUAUAUGUGUGUGUCAAAUAACUUUUAUAUAAAGAUGUCUACUAAUAAAGUUGGUAUGGCAGGAUGUCUAGUAUAAUAUUAUUAAUGAUCAUUAUUCGUAGAUAUCAAGUUCAGGAGUCCAUGAAGAGCAGUGUAAAAUGUUGAACUACAACUUCGUGUAUUGUGCAUCAUAUUGUUUUAUCAUUUUCCUUUAGCAGCAUUUACAAUGCAGCAACUGGAUUGUCCCAAGAGGAUUAUAAAAACCUUCACCAAGUAGCAGUUAAUAACAAGCAAAAGAGCUUAGAACAACUUUGGCUUCAUUUCUACAUCAUUAAUUUUGCUUAGGUCUCAAUUGUCAAUAGUUCCUGUCUGUUGCAGCACAAAUUUGUUUUCUCACUGACAAAGAUAGCAUGACAACUCCUAUAGUUCACAUUUAGCAAAUAAAAUACUGCUUUAAUUUAUGAGAGAAGACUGCACCUCUUUUUUCUUGAAAUCUUGCGUCAACUAAUAGUAGAAGAAGAAUUGGUACUUAUCUCUAGUGAAUGUUUCAACUGUGUAUGUGUCAAAUGAAUUCAACUCAUAAGAAGCAUAAUAAAGUUUUAAUUAAUUAAGGAAUGCCUGAUAUAACAUUAAUGAUGCAAUCAUGUAGUCAUAUGUUGGAAAAUAUGGAAAUCCUGGACUGCUUGCAGGCAUGGUGAUAGAAGUGACUUUUCUCAUUAUCAUAUGGUUAAGCAGUGUGUUUGGAACAUCAAAGCUAUCAUCAAUAACACUUUUCCUACCAUUGAGAUGGAUGGUAAUUGGUCAAACACCUGUGAUAACAUUGAAAGACUGUGUCCUGUUCUUAAGUGUACCACAGUAUAUUGGAAAUUACCAACUAGAGGAAUGAUCAAAAUAAUACUGAUAGCUGUUACAUGAGCAACACUGGCAAUGCAGGAAUAGGAGGCAUAGUGAGGAAUGACCAAGGGGAUUUUAUAAUGGGAUUCUCUAUUCCUAUUAACUGUCCUAGUAACAAUCAUGCUGAGAUGGAGGAUGCAAGCUUUGGAAUCAAUUGGUGCAUUUAAAAUGGUUUCUCUAACCUCCACAUAGAAAUGGACUCCUUAUUGAUAACUGAUAUGCUGAUCAAGAGGGACACCAACAAUUUGAAGCUCAAACACUUGGUGAGAGCUACAUCAAACAUUCUAAGAGGAGCUAAUGUCGUCAUCACUCAUUUUUAUAGGGAAACAAAUCAGAUCGCAGAUCUUUUGGCUAAGAAGGCUAUUACAAGUGGUAACAGGAUCUUAUAUCUUUCUUAUCAGGAUCUUCCUAGAGAAGUAAAGGGCCUGCUGCAACUUGAUAAGUGGCAACUUCCUACUUUCAGAAGGAGAUUUGAAAAAUGUAAUUUUUAUGUAAGCUAAUUUGUACUCUUAAUUACUGGGAGGAACAUUGUAUAGGCUAGUUCCUCUCGAUGGAUUGCUUUGUCAAUUCAUCUUUUGUAGACUAGAGGCAAGGUUUUCCAUGACCCCCUCUAGUCAAUGUAAGUUCUCUUACUAAUAUAACAUGGUAGGGGUCAAGCCAAAACCCCCACACCUUAGGCUCACAACCUAAUGGAGAUGGCUUAUAUAAAA